rnacentral:rRNA from 1 species
GAUGAACGCUGGCGGCGUGCCUAAUACAUGCAAGUCGAGCGAACAGACGAGGAGCUUGCUCCUCUGACGUUAGCGGCGGACGGGUGAGUAACACGUGGAUAACCUACCUAUAAGACUGGGAUAACUUCGGGAAACCGGAGCUAAUACCGGAUAAUAUAUUGAACCGCAUGGUUCAAUAGUGAAAGACGGUUUUGCUGUCACUUAUAGAUGGAUCCGCGCCGCAUUAGCUAGUUGGUAAGGUAACGGCUUACCAAGGCAACGAUGCGUAGCCGACCUGAGAGGGUGAUCGGCCACACUGGAACUGAGACACGGUCCAGACUCCUACGGGAGGCAGCAGUAGGGAAUCUUCCGCAAUGGGCGAAAGCCUGACGGAGCAACGCCGCGUGAGUGAUGAAGGUCUUCGGAUCGUAAAACUCUGUUAUUAGGGAAGAACAAAUGUGUAAGUAACUAUACACGUCUUGACGGUACCUAAUCAGAAAGCCACGGCUAACUAC